rnacentral:lncRNA from 1 species
AUGCUUCCUUGUUGAAUGUCUUUCAGUUAUAGGUUCAUGUUAGAUCAAUAACUCUGUGUUUUUCAUUAGUUUAUGGUUUGCUAGACGUAGUAUCCAUAGAAGUUAUAAUCGUGAAUUGAGUAGGUAUAGGUAUUCAACUAAUCUAAAUAUUUGUGAGGUGAGAGAUUAUCGGCCUGUCUAGGUUGUUAGAUUGGUAUACUUUGUGAGAAGAUUGCCUUAGUUUACCUUAUCGAAUCGAAGCAGUGGCUUCUUCUUCUUCUUCUUCGUCACAUGACCUUGCUCAACGUCUUUAUGACAAGGAUUAAUAGAUUUACUCAGACGGUUUUCUGUUGACUUGUAGGUGAUUAUAAUGUUUGAGUUAGGGUUUUUAGGCUUUCUAUUGAUUUGUUGAUAACUUUGUUGUUUUGAAUUAGUACUGAUAGAUUUAUUAUGGUUUUUUUAUUAAUUUGUAGAUGCUCGGUGUGUUGAUUAUGUUGUUUUGAGUUAGGGUUUAUAGGUUUGGGAAAAUGUUUGAAAAGUAGAUUGUGAAAUUCGUGUUUUUUGAUAAGGAAUGUUUGGUGGAAUGUUUGUAGGUUGAAAUUCAAGUUAGGAAGAUUUACUUUGUAAAUAGGGCUGCAACUGUGCUUCCGAUAAACGUUGAGGAUGCUGCCAGAAGUGAAGUUGAAAUUGAGAAGGCUUUGUAGGUUUAAGGGUGUGAUGAUGACCUGGUAGUCAUCAGUUCGGUUCCUACUGCCUCCAUCAUCCGCUGAUUUCAUCUUCAUUCUGCUAUGUUCGUUUGUAUUCAUCUUGAUUCUGGUAUGUUCGGUUCCUAAUCGGACUCGAACGCCAAAUAAUCGCCUUUUUAACCCUAAUCGGACUCCAGUCGCCGUCCGCCGCUGGCCGCUGUUGUUGUUAUACAUUUGCGGUUGCCGCUUAUCAGCUCCAUCUUUAUAGUUUCUGAACCCAAAAUAUGGAUGCAUUGUUCCUCUGCUUCUGAUGAAUGAUGAUUGUACACACGAUCAGACUUUGAAGCCAGACUAAACCCACAUGGCUCAGUCCUUUAUGGAACCAUCAAACCAAUAAAGACAAUCAUGUUGAGUAACUCGACUUAUCUAAUCAACACUAAGAAAUGUUACACCGUUAACGGCGUUUCGUACAUUAACGCAGGCACUCCUAAGUUUUUAUGAAGGUGAUAUUAUGUAUUGCAGUUGAACAAGCAUUAUGAAUGGGUUAUUGGAACUGGAGAAGGCAAAUUUGAUGUAUUAGAUCAUGAAAAUGUCGGAUUCAAGUCAAAGGUCUAGAUGAAGUUUUUCAGUGGUGAUGAUCAAAAGAAAUUGUCGAUGUGACUUCGUUUAUUAGGCGUCCGGCUUUGUAUAAAUAUAAGUGUAGUUACUGCUGCAGAUGCGACGGGGAUUAUGAGGAGGAAUCAGGAAUCAGAGCAUCUAAACAGAGGUAUUAAUAGCUGAAACAUCUGCUUGAAUCAAUCUUAACCCACUCGAACCCUAAAGUAAAUCGUCGUCCAGUCAUCCUGUAAGCUGCUGGUUAUCUGUUUUCAAUCCUUCUCACUUGCCAAUUAAGGUAACUAAGUUGUCCGCAUCUGAUAGUUUUUUUUUUCCGGAUAAAUCAUUGGAAUGGUUACUGAUCUAAAUAUACAAUUGCGACAUAGAUAGAUAACAUUAUCUACUUCGGGAUAAUAUAUAGACUUCUCAAUUCGUUGUAUUAUCAAAUAUAAAAGUAAAUGAUUAUAUAUAGUAAAAUGUUCCGUCAAUAUGUUUUAAAUAAUGAUUUUUAUUGACAAGUAAUACAAGAGAUACUAAGGGCAGGAAGUAUAUUAUGAGUUACAUAUAGAAAGGCAUUAGAAGAUGUAGAAUUGGAAGGCUUUGUGAUGCGUUCAUGUACAUGGCCAUUUGAUGAUCAUGGGCAAGUCAAAUGUUAAAGUUAUGAUAGUCAGUUUAUUAUAAUCAAGAGAAUAUUGUAGAAGUUGACUUUUUUCUUAAGCAAAACAGAAAGUCAAAGGUAAGUGGAGUAAGAAGUAAGAACUAUUGGGUUGAGGGUGAACUCUACAAAAUCAAUGAUCGGCCACCUCAUGGAAGUCGCUGAUGCUGUGGAAGCUAUCGCAACAAUACAAGUUAUUCAUGCAUGGUUAAGCCUUUUGCCAAUCAAACAAGAUCUUAUUGCGGUUAAAGGUGCUGACGAGCUACUUUGUUCACUGGCCGAAAGGUAAGUGUGAGCAAAGCUUUCUUCUGGUUCUCCUUUAAACUUUUUUUUUGUGGUGCUUCUACAAACUUUGUUGUCUAUAUCACAAGUCAGACAUGGAACUUCUGGG